CGGGUGAGUAACGCGUGAGGAACCUGCCUCAAAGAGGGGGACAACAGUUGGAAACGACUGCUAAUACCGCAUAAGCCCACGGGUCGGCAUCGACCAGAGGGAAAAGGAGCAAUCCGCUUUGAGAUGGCCUCGCGUCCGAUUAGCUAGUUGGUGAGAUAAUGGCCCACCAAGGCAACGAUCGGUAGCCGGACUGAGAGGUUGAACGGCCACAUUGGGACUGAGACACGGCCCAG
rnacentral:rRNA from 1 species